rnacentral:misc_RNA from 1 species
CCUAGAGUUGUAGGCUUUGCCUGCUAUCUCUUACCCAUGUCUUUUGAGUACCUUCGUUCCUCGGCGGGUCCGCCCGCCGAUCGGACAAUUUAAGCCAUUUGCAGUUGCAAUCAGCGUCUGAAAAAACUUAAUAGUUA